AGAGUUUGAUCAUGGCUCAGGACGAACGCUGGCGGCGUGCUUAACACAUGCAAGUCGAACGGUUCUCGAAGUUCGAGGUUGGAUGUUCGAAGUUCGAUUAAGAAACAAUUGGCAAAGCCAAUUGCCGAUUAUUAAAGUUUUUUUCGAAUCUCGAAUCUCGAACCUCGAAUUUCGAGAAUAGUGGCGGACGGGUGAGUAACACGUGGAUAACCUGCCUGUAAGACCGGGACAACACCUGGAAACGGGUGCUAAUACCGGGUAAGCUCUUUAGCCCGCAUGGGCAGAAGAGGAGAGGGGAAACCCGCUUACAGAUGGGUCCGCGGCCCAUUAGCUAGUUGGCGGUGUAACAGACCACCAAGGCGACGAUGGGUAGCCGGCCUGAGAGGGUGACCGGCCACACUGGAACUGAGACACGGUCCAGACUCCUACGGGAGGCAGCAGUGGGGAAUCUUCCGCAAUGGGCGAAAGCCUGACGGAGCAACGCCGCGUGAAUGAUGAAGGCCUUCGGGUUGUAAAAUUCUGUCUUCAGGGAAGAAAAAAAUGACGGUACCUGAGGAGGAAGCCCCGGCUAACUACGUGCCAGCAGCCGCGGUAAUACGUAGGGGGCGAGCGUUGUCCGGAAUUACUGGGCGUAAAGGGCGCGUA
rnacentral:rRNA from 1 species